UGAAAUUGUAGCUCCUACUCUUGCCCACAGUCGUCCUCCCUGCAGCCUCACCUGCCUCCUGCUCCAAGUGCACAACAGAAAACAGGGAAGGAAAAUUUCCACCAUCAAGGCUUAUGGGAAAUUAGUGAUGUCUGGCUGUCAGAGCUGUCUGUGGUUUUACCUGGGAGCACUUGUGGGUGCUUUCUCUCAGAAUAGGAAGGGGCACCCAUUCCCAGACAUACACCAACCCUGAGUUUACAGCACUCACCCCAUGCAAAUGAACAGAACUGAGGUGACAAGUGGGGUACUGAUCCAUGUUUGGAAGAGUGUACAGAAUUUUGUUUGAAGCCAGCAAGUGAGAGGAUCCUGCUGCAAGUGUGAUGAGAAUUUGGGGAGGACACACGAGCACGACUGACAGCUCAUCUAGCCUGCCAGCUUUUAAAAAUGGGGAGCUUUCACUUGAAACAUCUCAGUUGUUGGUUUCACCUGCACUGUUAGAAGCUCUGGCAAUAUGGAGCCUGCAUUCCCAGAGGACACCAGUCAGCUGGAACUGAGUGGCAGCUGCCAUUUAGGCGAAGCUCCCAGUUUACCACAGUGCCCACCACUGCCUGUUGCCCACUCCUGGCUGCAGCUUAACUCAUCCCUUACCUACUGGCCCUUGGGGGCCCUGGCUAUGGGGACCCUGGCU